rnacentral:rRNA from 1 species
UGGGGAAUAUUGGACAAUGGGCGCAAGCCUGAUCCAGCCAUGCCGCGUGAGUGAUGAAGGCCCUAGGGUUGUAAAGCUCUUUCACCGGUGAAGAUAAUGACGUUAACCGGAGAAGAAGCCCCGGCUAACUUCGUGCCAGCAGCCGCGGUAAUACGAAGGGGGCUAGCGUUGUUCGGAUUUACUGGGCGUAAAGCGCACGUAGGCGGACUUUUAAGUCAGGGGUGAAAUCCCGGGGCUCAACCCCGGAACUGCCUUUGAUACUGGAAGUCUUGAGUAUGGUAGAGGGGAGUGGAAUUCCGAGUGUAGAGGUGAAAUUCGUAGAUAUUCGGAGGAACACCAGUGGCGAAGGCGGCUCACUGGACAAUUACUGACGCUGAGGUGCGAAAGCGUGGGGAGCAAACAGG